UCCAGCAGCCGCGGUAAUACGUUCCCGGGCCUUGUACACACCGCCCGUCACACCAUGGAAGCCAGCUGUACCGGAAGUCGGUGCGCUAACCCCGCAAGGGGAGGUAGCCGCCUAUGGUAUGACUGGUGACUGGGGUGAAGUCGUAACAAGGUAGCCGUAGGGGAACCUGCGGCUGGAUCACCUCCUUUCUAAGGAUUGUUUCCCGCAGCAAUGUGGGAACAUACCUAGGUCAAUCAGAUCUGAAGAUCCCGUCUGAGAUCUGAAAUAUCAACGUCUCGAUAGCAGACGGUCGCCCCUAAACCCGCUACUAUUUAGUUUUGAAAGACCAAAGACGAUUCGGCUGUGCUUCGUAUAACCAACUGGCUCGAUAAGAGAGCUUAUUGAAGAGCGCUUUCAAACGAAGCGUCGUUCACUAAUCUCUUCGAGAUUGGUCACACUUCCUCAUUCCCUCUCCCCUGUGGGAGAGGCUUAGGGUGAGGGAUUGUAGAUGUUCUUUGACAACUGAAUACGGGUAAAGAAAGCUGCAAUUGAGCUGAGUAGUAUUGGCGAAUAUGGUCAAGCUACUAAGGGCAUACGGUGGAUACCUAGGCACACAGAGA
rnacentral:sRNA from 1 species